rnacentral:rRNA from 1 species
AUUGAACGCUGGCGGAAUGCUUUACACAUGCAAGUCGAACGGCAGCACGGGGCAACCUGGUGGCGAGUGGCGAACGGGUGAGUAAUAUAUCGGAACGUGCCCAAUCGUGGGGGAUAACGUAGCGAAAGUUACGCUAAUACCGCAUACGAUCUACGGAUGAAAGCGGGGGAUCGCAAGACCUCGCGCGAAUGGAGCGGCCGAUAUCAGAUUAGGUAGUUGGUGGGGUAAAGGCUCACCAAGCCAACGAUCUGUAGCUGGUCUGAGAGGACGACCAGCCACACUGGAACUGAGACACGGUCCAGACUCCUACGGGAGGCAGCAGUGGGGGAAUUUUGGACAAUGGGCGCAAGCCUGAUCCAGCCAUUCCGCGUGCAGGAUG